UAUAAUGCAGAACUGUUCAACCCUCUACUG
rnacentral:piRNA from 1 species